AGUAGGUUAACUGGGUCAAAUGGUGGUUCCAUUCCAAGUUUUAGGAGGAAUUUCCAUACUGCUUUCCAGAGUAGUUGUACCAAUUUGCAGUCCCACCAGCAAU
rnacentral:pre_miRNA from 1 species